rnacentral:tRNA from 1 species
GGGAUUGUAGCUCAGUGGUAGAGCACUUGCCUAGCAUGUAGGAAGUCCUGGGUUUGAUCUCCAGCCCCA